UCAUCAUUGCCUACAUUUGUCUCCAGACGACUUGUACAAACUUGGCUGAAACCUGCAGUUAACAAUGGUAAUGAAGCUGCUAUUUGAAAGAACUGCAUCUGUCUGACCCUCAGACACAUCUACACCAGUGUUUAGCAGACAUGCCAAAUGAAGCUCUUCUCCACCACAUCCAGUUCUGCAGUAUCCUUCUGAUGUCUUCUGGAGCUGUCUGUAGUUCAUCACCACCGGCUUUUCUCCCAACUCAAGAUCCUCUUCCAAGCAACC